AUUGGGGGUUUGAAAUAUCGGUUCACGUACGCUCACCGAUGUUAAGCAACCUUGAGCCUGGUCAGUAUCCAGAUGGGUGACCGUUUGGGUUUACUAGGUGUUGUAAG